UACGUAGGGGGCAAGCGUUGUCCGGAUUUAUUGGGCGUAAAGAGCGUGUAGGCGGUUUGGUAGGUCCGCUGUGAAAACUCGAGGCUCAACCUCGAGACGCCGGUGGAAACCAUCAGACUAGAGUCCGGAAGAGGAGAGUGGAAUUCCUGGUGUAGCGGUGAAAUGCGUAGAGAUCCGGAGGAACACCAAAGGCGAAGGCAGUGUCCUGGGGAGUACCUGACGCUCAGGUGCGAAAGCCAGGGGAGCGAACGGG
rnacentral:rRNA from 1 species